rfam:Oryza meridionalis cultivar OR44 (W2112) chromosome 12, whole genome shotgun sequence.
AAUAAGUGCAGUUGUGCACUGUUCACGUACAACGUUUGACCGUUCAUCUUAUUUAAAAUUCUUUUAGAUUAUUAUUAGAUGAUAAAACAUGAAUAGUGCUUUAUGUAUGAGUAAUUUUUUAAUUUUUUUAAAAAAAUUUUAAAUAAGACGGACGGUCAAACGUUGGAUACGGAUUCCCACGGCUGCAUUUAUU